rnacentral:rRNA from 1 species
AGAGUUUGAUCCUGGCUCAGGAUUAACGCUGGCGGUAUGCUUAACACAUGCAAGUCGAACGAUCCAUGUCGUGGCGAACGGGUGAGUAGUACGUAAGAAUCUACCUUCAGGUAGGGUAUAACUUCUGGAAAUGGUUGAUAAAACCCUAUAUUAAACAUACGUUCGUAUGCCCUAGCGGGGAAAAACAGCAAUUGUUGCCUGGAGAUGAGCUUACGCCUGAUUAGCUAGUUGGUAGAGUAAAUGUUUACCAAGGCCAUGAUCGGUAGCUGGUUUGAGAGAACGGUCAGCCACAUUGAGACUGAGACACGGCUCAAACUUUUUUGGAAGGCAGCAGUGAGGAAUUUUCCGCAAUGGGCGAAAGCUUGACGGAGCAAUACCGCGUGAGAGAAUGAAGGAUUACGGUUUGUAAAUCUCUUUUUUUAAGGAAUAAGGCUUGAUUAAAUUUGCUAUAUUAAGCUUGAAGUUAUUUUUAAGAAUAAGCAUCGGCUAACUUCGUGCCAGCAGCCGCGGUAAUACGAGGGAUGCGAGCGUUAUCCGAAAUUAUUGGGCGUAAAGGGUUCGUAGGUGGUUCUUAAGCGGCUGUUAGUCCAAAGUUUGUAAUUAAAUGUCAAGGCUUAACCUUGGAAGAGUUUCAAAUACUGAAGAACUAGAGUAAGGUAGAUGAAAAGGGAAUUUCUAGUGGAGCGGUGAAAUGUGUAGAUAUUGGAAAGAACGCCGACGGCGGAAGCGCUUGACUAGACCAUUACUGACACUCAGGAACGAAAGCUAGGGUCGCGAAAAGGAUUAGGUACCCUUGUAGUCUUAGCUAUCAACGAUGAGUAUUGGGCGUUGAAUUCUGCAGUGUCGUAGCUAACGCGUUAAAUAUUCCGCCUGGGAAGUACGCUCGCAAGGGUAAAACUCAAAGGAAUUGACGGGGGCUCACACAAGCGGUGGAGCAUGCCGUUUAAUUCGAUGCAACCCGAAGAACCUUACCAGGACUUGACAGAUUACUAGCGCCUUGUUUUAUGACGGGCUUAGAAGUUUAAAUACUACUGUAAUCACAGGUGGUGCAUGGCUGUCGUCAGCUCGUGUCGUGAGAUGUUGGUUUAGUUCCGCAACGAGCGCAACCCUUAUUUUUAAUUGCCACUUAACGUUUAAGCCGUUCGUUUUAAGCAGUGGGGUUUAGAAAAACCGCUAAUAAGAGUUGGAGGAAGGUGAGGAUGACGUCAAGUCAGCAUGCCCCUGACGUCCUGGGCUACAGGCGUGCUACUAUGGCGGAAACAAUAAGUUGCUAAAUCGCAAGAGAUUUGUGGGAUAUAAUCUCUUAAGCUAAUCUUUUUAAAAAUUGCGCCAAUGUUCGGAUUGUCGAUUGCAACUCUUCGACAUGAAGCUGGAAUCGCUAGUAAUCGUCGGUCAGCUAUACGACGGUGAAUAUGUUUCUGAGCCUUGUACACACCGCCCGUCACACCAUGGAAGUUAGUUAUACCCGAAACCAUCUUGAAAACUGUUGGUGUCUAAGGUAGAAUUAGCGACUCGGGUGAAGUCGUAACAAGGUACCCGUACUGGAAGGUGCUGGUG